rnacentral:rRNA from 1 species
AUUGAACGCUGGCGGCAGGCCUAACACAUGCAAGUCGAACGAGUGGCGGACGGAUGAGUAAUGUCUGGGAAACUGCCCGAUGGAGGGGGAUAACUACUGGAAACGGUAGCUAAUACCGCAUACCAUCGGAUGUGCCCAGAUGGGAUUAGCUAGUAGGUGGGGUAAUGGCUCACCUAGGGGACGAUCCCUAGCUGGUCUGAGGGGAUGACCGCCCACCAUGGAACUGAGACACGGCCCAGACUCUUACGGGGGGAAGCAGUGGGGAAUAUUGCACAAUGGGCGCAAGCUGGAUGCAGCCAGGCAGGGUGUAGGAAGAAGGCCUGCGGGUUGUAAAGUACUUUCAGAGGGGAGGCGUUACCCGCAGAAGAAGCACCGGCUAACUCCGUGCCAGCACCGCGGUAAUAC